AUUGAACGCUGGCGGCAUGCCUUACACAUGCAAGUCGAACGGCAGCGGGGGAGAAGCUUGCUUUUCCUGCCGGCGAGUGGCGAACGGGUGAGUAAUACAUCGGAACGUGCCCUGUAGUGGGGGAUAACUAGUCGAAAGAUUAGCUAAUACCGCAUACGACCUGAGGGUGAAAGUGGGGGACCGCAAGGCCUCGUGCUAUAGGAGCGGCCGAUGUCUGAUUAGCUAGUUGGUGGGGUAAAGGCCUACCAAGGCGACGAUCAGUAGCUGGUCUGAGAGGACGAUCAGCCACACUGGGACUGAGACACGGCCCAGACUCCUACGGGAGGCAGCAGUGGGGAACUUUGGACAAGGGGCGAAAGCCUGAUCCAGCAAUGCCGCGUGUGUGAAGAAGGCCUUCGGGUUGUAAAGCACUUUUGUCCGGAAAGAAAUGGCUCUGGUUAAUACCUGGGGUCGAUGACGGUACCGGAAGAAUAAGGACCGGCUAACUACGUGCCAGCCGCCGCGGUAA
rnacentral:rRNA from 1 species